UUCAAACUGAUGAACUGACAGCGCAGAUGUAGGCUGCGGAGACACCACACACACAGCUGUUAAUUUUUAACAGCGUACCAGCACGUAAAAGCCCAGACAAAAACGCGGCCGGCCUAGCCUUCCCUUAGCUCCCACCGCCAUCCUUCACCUUGGGCUUUUCGGUAUAAACCUGUGAUAGUUUGAGCGACUUCAUUUAAGUUAAUACAAGGCAGAAUAUGUCCCGACUACAGACUGUUGCUGCACUUGAGCUUAGUCCAGACAGCACGGACGGAGAGAAACCACGCCGCAGGAAGGCGCUCACCGGCACUGACACUGAGGCCACACUUACUCAGAAGGGAGCAGGAACUCCAGCCCCUCGGGAUGCGAGAUUACCAACCAGCAUACACAGGUUGCAGCAGCCGCCCACGGGAGGAGGACCGUGUGCUCAGUUCAUUCUAUAUACACUGCCAAGUCAAUGCCCGUAUUCACUAGCUAAACAGUUUCAAUGUCACAGCUGAAGAUAACUAUAGGCAGCAUGAGAUGCAAAGCCACUAAAGAUAUUUCAUGGAACAGGCAUCCCUAGAGAGCCAUAACGCACCACAUACAACAGUCUUCCUUCCUCGCUACAGCAGCUAACGGCUCCGGUCAGGGCUCCAGCAUCAGAAAUCCUUCCCAAGGAAGAGAAACGUGGGAGGUGACAGACAGUCAUAUUUUCAGAGACCUACUAGCUGAAAACAGAAAUAAAGAAGCCUGCUGACACGGCAGGGCAACCUCACUGCCUCCACCAAGGCGUCCAGGCUAGGUGACAGGCUGAACGCCCCGCGACAAAGCGGCUUUGUAUUCUCAGGCCGUUACAGCCAGUUUUCACAUCUACGUCUGGGUACCAGCACAGGAUUCAGAUCCAAAGUUGUAUGCUUAGGGUUUGUUCUAGCUUUAUUCCUCACAACAGCAAGUUCCACAGGACGAGAAUUGUACCGAAAGCCAGAAAAAAAUUUACUACACUUUUGAGCAAAAAUAUGCCCACUUCAGUCUAAUUAACCACUAAACUGCCCGAAUCUGGAUAGCUGCCUUUAGUUUUUGUGUUCCUAAACCUUAGUAUAUUUGGUCUGUACUGUAUUACAACUUCAACAACUGCUUGG